AUUGAACGCUGGCGGCAUGCUUUACACAUGCAAGUCGAACGGCAGCGCGGGCUUCGGCCUGGCGGCGAGUGGCGAACGGGUGAGUAAUGCAUCGGAACGUGCCCAGUAGUGGGGGAUAGCCCGGCGAAAGCCGGAUUAAUACCGCAUACGACCUGAGGGUGAAAGCGGGGGACCGAAAGGCCUCGCGCUAUUGGAGCGGCCGAUGUCGGAUUAGCUAGUUGGUGGGGUAAAGGCUUACCAAGGCGACGAUCCGUAGCUGGUCUGAGAGGACGACCAGCCACACUGGGACUGAGACACGGCCCAGACUCCUACGGGAGGCAGGAGUGGGGAAUUUUGGACAAUGGGGGCAACCCUGAUCCAGCCAUGCCGCGUGCGGGAAGAAGGCCUUCGGGUUGUAAACCGCUUUUGUUCGGGAAGAAAUCCUCUGGGCUAAUACCCCGGGGGGAUGACGGUACCGGAAGAAUAAGCACCGGCUAACUACGUG
rnacentral:rRNA from 1 species